rnacentral:rRNA from 1 species
UACGAAGGGGGCUAGCGUUGCUCGGAAUCACUGGGCGUAAAGGGUGCGUAGGCGGGUCUUUAAGUCAGGGGUGAAAUCCUGGAGCUCAACUCCAGAACUGCCUUUGAUACUGAGGAUCUUGAGUACGGGAGAGGUGAGUGGAACUGCAAGUGUAGAGGUGAAAUUCGUAGAUAUUCGCAAGAACACCAGUGGCGAAGGCGGCUCACUGGCCCGUAACUGACGCUGAGGCACGAAAGCGUGGGGAGCAAACAGG